rnacentral:rRNA from 1 species
UACCCUUGGGUCAGGUCUCACGAGAGGUUUCGUAUACCUCGGACGUCAGGAUAAACGACUGGCGGCGCACAUAAGACAUGCAAGUCGAACGGACUUAACCAUAGUUUACGUAUUGGGGCGGGUUAGUGGCGGGACUGGUAGAGUAACACGUAAGCAACCUGCCUAUCAGAGGGGAACAACAGUUAGAAAUGACUGCUAAUACCGCAUAUACCUAAGUAACGCAUGUUACAAUAGGGAAAGGAGAAAUCCGCUGAUAGAUGGGCUUGCGUCUGAUUAGAUAGUUGGUGGGGUAAAGGCCUACCAAGUCGACGAUCAGUAGCCGGACUGAGGGGUUGAACGGCCACAUUGGGACUGAGAUACGGCCCAGACUCCUACGGGAGGCAGCAGUCGGGGAUAUUGCGCAAUGGAGGAAACUCUGACGCAGUGACGCCGCGUGCAGGAAGAAGGUUUUCGGAUUGUAAACUGCUUUAGACAGGGAAGAAACAAGACAGUACCUGUAGAAUAAGCUCCGGCUAACUACGUG